rnacentral:rRNA from 1 species
UGGGGAAUUUUCCGCAAUGGGCGCAAGCCUGACGGAGCAAGACCGCGUGAGGGAGGAAGGCUCUUGGGUUGUAAACCCCUUUUCUCAAGGAAGAAGACAGUGAAGGUACUUGAGGAAUAAGCCUCGGCUAACUCCGUGCCAGCAGCCGCGGUAAUACGGAGGAGGCAAGCGUUAUCCGGAAUGAUUGGGCGUAAAGCGUCCGUAGGUGGCUGUUCAAGUCUGCUGUUAAAGAGAGUGGCUUAACUCCUGAAAAGCAGUGGAAACUGAACAGCUAGAGUGCGUUAGGGGUAGAGGGAAUUCCUGGUGUAGCGGUGAAAUGCGUAGAUAUCAGGAAGAACACCGGUGGCGAAAGCGCUCUACUAGGCCGUAACUGACACUGAGGGACGAAAG